rnacentral:lncRNA from 1 species
GAAGGUUUUUGGAUCCCUUUUCUCCCUUUUUGCUUUGAACACUUGUGUGAGGACAUGAUGCUUGAAGCUGUGGCAGCCAUCUUGUCCUCAUGAGGCUUUACAUUGGAAAACAAAAGCCAACAAGCUGAGAGGGGUUCAACGGCAGAAUGAAAAGAGUUGAAGUUCUCACUAAGUCACUGAACUGACACCUAUCUCAGUACUUCCUGUUAAGACAACAAUAAAUAUCCUGAUGAUUAAGUCAUUGCAGGACUGGCUUUUUGGUAUUCGCAGCUGCAAGCGUUCUUAACUGAUAUAUCCACAGAAGUUCAAAAUCCAAGGAAAGAGAAAGAAGAACUAGUGAAGAAACCAACAAAAGAAUAUUAUGACAGGGGGGGAACGAGAGCCAGUGAGGUGCAUCAGAACCACCUAAAGGGACUGUCAAAAAUGUGGAUCUGCUGGCUCCACUCCACACAGACUCGACCAGAAGCUCUGCCAGUGUGGCCCCAGGAAUCUGCAUUGCUAAGCUCACACAGGUGAUUCUUCUGUAUGUUCUAACGUCAUGAAAAACAAAGGAAGAGUUUCAAAGAAAAGGUGGGCAACAAUGAAAAAUUAUAUAAAAAUGUAAAC